GCCCCGGUGGCGAAAUUGGUAGACGCACAGGACUUAAAAUCCUGGGUUGGGUUAAACUGACGUGCCAGUUCAAGUCUGGCCCGGGGCACCA
rnacentral:tRNA from 1 species